UGGUCAAAGAUUCUGUGAAAUG
rnacentral:miRNA from 10 species